rnacentral:rRNA from 1 species
AUUGAACGCUGGCGGAAUGCUUUACACAUGCAAGUCGAACGGUAACAGGUCUUCGGAUGCUGACGAGUGGCGAACGGGUGAGUAAUAUAUCGGAACGUGCCCAGUCGUGGGGGAUAACGUAGCGAAAGUUACGCUAAUACCGCAUACGAUCUAAGGAUGAAAGCGGGGGAUCGCAAGACCUCGCGCGAUUGGAGCGGCCGAUAUCAGAUUAGGUAGUUGGUGGGGUAAAGGCCCACCAAGCCGACGAUCUGUAGCUGGUCUGAGAGGACGACCAGCAGAACUGGCACUGAGACGAGGGCCAGACCCCUACGGGGGGCAGCAGGGGGGAAUUUUGGACAAUGGACGAAAGUCUGACCCAGCAAUUCCGCGUGAAGGAAGAAGGCCGUCGGUUUGUAAACUGUUUUUGUCCGGAGCGAAAAGGUUUCUAAUAAUACUGGGAACUCAGGACGGUACCGAAAGAAUAAGCACCGGAUAACUACGUGCCAGCCGCCGCGGUAAAAC